rnacentral:lncRNA from 1 species
CCUGCUCGUGCUGCAUGUCUAGAACUUUUACCGCCACCGUGAAACCGGUGCUAAGUUGACCUUUAUAGACCUUUCUAAAGCUCCCAGUCCCCAACAGGCUGUCGUCGCUAAAAUUACUGGUGGCAAGGACGAGGUCAUGGUAGGACAGGUGCCUUAUGGUACAUAACAUUGCUAGGAUCAAUGCCAAAAUCUUCAACCUCUCCCUUGUUUUUAAGUUUCUUUCUAAUGGUUUGGUAAAUGAAAAUAACAGUACAACCAAAUGCUAUAGGGACAGAAGGGAGCAGGAAUCUUAGAAAGUGCAUCGUAUUUGAGUGAGGUUUCUCCAUACAUGGAGAGAAUCGUAAACGGGGUAUGCCACAAAGCCCAAUAUUCCCAACCAAAGAUUGCAACGAGAUGUUAGAGAAAAUACCACCCUGUGGUACCUUGCCUUGUAGAUUAUUAAAGGAGAGAUUCAAGGUUUUCAAGAAGGUUAAAUUGGCUAGGAACAUGGGAAUAUUACCGGAGAGAUUAUUGGAGGAGAGGUCCAAUGACUCGAGGCUCCUCAGCUCUUUAAAUGACACGGGAAUAGAGUCCUCAAAUGAAUUGUGUGAUAGAUUUAGAUAGGUGAGCAUGCUUAGUUUCCCAAAUGAUUUGGGGAUGCUUCCAAGCAAAAAGUUGGAGGAAAGGUCAAUUGUAUCCACUUGUUUCAACCCACCAACGUCACUUGGUAGUGGACCAGAAAAGGAAUUGAUAGAAAGAUCUAGGGUUAUAAUUUUGUCAAGGUGGAACAAACAUGCCGGUAUAGUUGAAUUGAAUUGGUUCUCGAACAAGUAGAUGUAUUCUAGCAUGGUAAGAUUUCCGAUGCUAUCAGGUAUACAGCCAUGAAAUCUAUUUCCAUCGAUAAUAAGCUUUUGUAACUUGCUGAGCAUACCAAUUUGUGCCGGGAUAGUCCCUAGCAUGUCAUUAUGAGAGACGUCAAGCCAAACGAGAUUUUGCAUCCUCGUGAUAGAUUCUGGGAUCUCUCCUGUGAGCUGGUUGUUGGCAAGAUAAAUCCACUCAAGACUGCUCAAGUUUGACAGUGAGGAUGGAAGCCCACCUGUUAGCUUGUUGUCACCAAGUCCAAACUCAAAUAAUUGUGCAGACAGAUUCCCCAUAGUAUCAGGGAUUCGUCCGGUGAAAGAAUUAUCAUAUAGGUCAAGGUUUUGGAGUCGCAUACAGUUGGAAAGAGAUGACAAGAAGUUAAGAUUCCCACUCAAAUUAUUAUGUUGCAGUUGUAGCCAGAUUAGAGUUUGGAUGCUCCCAAAUAUUGCUGGUACAGGUCCAGACAAUGAAUUAUUAAACAAUACUAGGUGAGACAGUUUUGAUAAAUUUCCAAGAGAAGGUGGAAUUGGACCUGUUAGCAAAUUCACUCCGAGAUGCAAAUACGAGAGUUCUUGCAUGAGGCCUAAUUCUUCUUGAAUCUCUCCAGUCAGGUUGUUGAAAUCAAGGCCAAGUAUAUUGAGAUGGGUGAGAUUGCUAAAAACAGCUGGGACAGAGCCAUGUAAGGAAUUAGCACCCAAGGAUAGACGGUAAGUUGUUGCAAUUGAGCCAACCAGGUUGGCACAACAUCGACAAAAAAAUUGUAUGACAAGGAGAUCACUUGCAGGUGUUGGCACGAUGCAAGACCAGAUGGAAUUCGACCAACAAAGUUAUUCGUACUAAGGGUAAUCCAUUGUAGCAUCGGAAGACUGAAACUUUGAUUAUUGUUCGGAAUCGGCCCAGUUAAACUGUUUGAUUCGAAUCCAAUUACUUGCAGCCUAGACAUGUUAUAAAUGGUUGGGGGUACUGUGCCAGUGAGCUGAUUGCAUCCCAGGGACAAGUACUCAAGCAUGGGUAGUGAGCCUAUUCUAUGGGGUAUUGGACCUGAUAGGCUAUUCUUUCCGAGGUCGAUUUGCUUGAGGGAAGGUGUGUUAUUGAACAGAUACAGUGGUAUGUUGCCACUCAAGUCAUUCCAUGCUAGAUAAAACCACUCAAGAUUUCUCAUGCUCUGCGGUAACCGUUGUGGAAUCUCUCCAGUCAGGUUGUUGAAAGAAAGGUCAAGUACAGUAAGACGGGUGAGAUUGCUAAGAACAGCUGGGACAGAGCCAUGUAAGGCAUUAGCACGCAAGUUUAGAUAGGUAAGCAUGGGCAGUGAGCCCAUUCCUUGGGGUAUUGGACCUGAUAGGCUAUUGUUUGAGAGGUUGAUGUGGUUGAGGGAAGGUGUGUUAUUGAACAGAUACAAUGGUAUGUUGCCACUCAACUCAUUCCAUGCUAGAGUAAACCACUGAAGGUUUCUCAUGCUUUGCAGUAACCGUGGUGGAAUCUGCCCCGAGAGGGUGUUGUUACUUAGGCGAAGAAACUCGAGGCUUUUGAGGUUUCCUAUGGUACUAGGAAUGGCGCCUGAGAGGUCAUUUCCAUACAGAUCUAGGACCCUAAGCCGACGUAGCCUUCCAAUUUCAGCAGGGAUGAGUCCAGCGACACCAAUUCUUGUGAGGUUGAGCAUGCUGAGGAAGGAAAGAUUACCGAGAUGUUGGCUGAGCGCUCCAUGGAGGGGCACAUCCACCAACCGUAGAGCCGUGACACGCGGCCGGUGGUGGCUGCACGAGACCCCGACCCAUCGACAGAAGGACACGUUGGAUGUCCAGCUGCCGGCGAGGAUUCCGAGAGGAUCAGAGAGCAGCGAUUUGAAAGCCAACAGGGCAGUGAGGUCGGUGUAGCUACCGUUAACAUUGGUUACACUUGGGCUUGGAGAUGAAGAAAGGACAGCAGGCAAUAGGAUUGGUAGCAAGAUGGCCAAAAACACUAGAGGGACCGGGUAGCUUGCAAUGGCCAUUGUUGUGUAUUUUUGGGCUGAUAGGUCAUAGGUGGCAAUGUUAUAUACUUAUAUGUAUUUUUGGGUCAUAGGUCAUAGGUCACAUGUCAAAGUCUUGACUCGUGUUUCCUUUAUUUAUUUGUCACACGGUAUAUUUCUAUGGUGGCAAAAAAAAACAGUGUCACUAUUAUCUUGACUCAUGAAGUCAGCAAAGAUCUUUUAUAUUACUAUAAAGUAAUAAACAUUUAGAGACAUUUUGCUAAAUGUGAAUCCACGAUCUCGCCAUCUAGCGAUCGACAUUUCAUGAAUAUUGCUGCCUUUUAUAUUUACACACAUAUACAAUUCACUGAACGGAACGGAGAGUGUGUGCUGUCUCAUUGGACGUUGCCAGCUUGUGCGAAGACUAGAAUAUUGGCGGUCGUUGCACGGCAAAUUCCUGUCAGGUCAUUACGGGUUAGACAAGACGUGAAGACGAUGAUGGGUUGAAUAUUCUCUAGUACCUUUGCAGCCAUAGUCUCGUAUAGGCUACCGUCGAAUGCUACUUCCUGGUCAAUAACUCUACAGACGUAAAGACUGAUGUGGAUUAGUGUUGGUUCAUUUAUAUGGUGGCCUGUUCGGCAGUUGCAUAAAUGUAAUUUUUUUUCGUUUUGAAAUUUUCUCUUCAGGGUAGGAUAUAUCGAUCUCUCAGUGCAAAAUUGAAGGAUAUAUAUGCCUGUCUCGUAGGUGACACAGGUUAUGAACCACGACUAACAGGGUAUUUCCAAAGGACAGAAGCAGAGGAGCCCAUCCUGAUCAAUGUACAAAUUAAAUUAGUGACCACACUCAUGGAAAAAAGAACGCAUUUAUUCUAUUAUGAAAAGUUAACGAAACACUGUAAUUAUAAGCUUGGAUAUGCGUUGUUAAACUGAAAACAAAGUAUUUUAUUAGCUAAAAAAAUCAAUAAACUGGAUUAUUACAAAGUAACAUGCACUAGCAGUAGAUGAUGUUCCCAUUUUUCAGAUAGUCUUUUGCAUUUGUCUCUGAAGCGGUCAAUUCUGAUUAAGUUGCCAUAUUUUCUUUGUGGCCCCUUUAUCCACCAAAUAACUGCUAGGAAGUUGAGAUCCACAUGGAGGAAAUUUAGUCAUUUACAAGAUGCAACAAGUAGUUCAUACUAUACCCGCUGCUGCUGGUAACUAUCCAGCCAACAGCUUCGUAUCCAUCGUUAAUUCAAUAGCCACCAUUCACCACGAAAACAUCAUUUCAACAGAUCAUGAUAUACACUAUGAUUUCGCAAAGAAACAAAUUUGCGCAGCUGUGAAAGAAACAUGGGGACAUUCAUACCCUGUGUUAUGUGCAUACUAAUGAAUACAGUUGAUCGUAAACAAAUUGCUGGAUGCUAACUGCACCAUCAUGGCUACACAAUUACAAAUUCGAAAGUUAUUUCAGUUAGUGAGGCGGAAAUCACAAACUAUUUUUCAUUCGUUGGAUGCUAACUGCACCAUCAUGCAGAGUUUGGAGAGCAGAGUGGAAAGACAUAAUUAGUUUCUAAUAUAACAUGAAUGGAUCAGUUCGCAACGGAUCAAGUAUUUGUCCCAAUAAUAAAUCGGCAUUGCUUCUAGGUAAAAUAUCGAACACAUGGUGUCCUGUGCUGGCACAACAAUAGAGCUAUCUGAGGAACAGAUGCCUUUGUCAGUAGCAGAUCGAAUGAGAGGAACCCAGCAGGCAGCCUGAGAAGAAGACAAGCAGAAAUUGCCCCGGGCUCUAACCGUCUAUGGUCGACCGCAAAAUCCAUGUCGUGACCGCAAAAUCCACGGCAGUGGUCUUGUCCUCUGCUUUGUGAAUCUUCAAAUGCAUUAUUUGGAUUGCAGUAGCCACCCAUGAAGAUUAACCCGGGCUCGUUCAGUUGGAUUGCAGUAUUCAAAAAUCAUAUUAGGCACAGGCCAAAGGGACAAAAACAAGUAAUGAAAAAUAAUUGGAGAUGGAACAACGGACAGAACAGUUGAAUCACACGGUAGCACUCGUCGUGGUUGCUGAUAUUAUCGAUUCUGUAUAAUCCUUUUUUAUCUUCUUGAGUGCUACUGUGACAUCCCUCAUGACAUCCUCAGGCCAGGUGAGUCACUUGAGCAGAUCAACCCCAGCUCAAAUGUCGCCGUAAGAAAGUCAUUCAGAUUGCCGGCAAAGAAAGAAACACCUUGCAACAGCCGGUCAUCAAGAACAGAGGCAAGCUGAGCUGGAAAUGCUUGACGAACCCACCACCUAAUGCUCAAAUCUGCGACGAACAUGGGAUCUGUGGGUCUCUUUCCAGUGAAGACUUCAAGGAGCAUGAUUCCAUAACUGAAAACAUCGCUCUUGCGUGAUGCCUUCCCGUAAGAUCCAUACUCUGCUCAUGAGACCGGAAACAAAGAAUUCCAGCAAGACUGAAUCAGCACUGUUAGACAAAUAUAUACCAAACAAAAUUCAGAGUCACAGUACGGAGUAUGGACGUACCUGGUGCCAUGUACCCAAGUGUUCCAAGCAUGCUUGCAGUGAUCAUAGAGCAGUCAUCACCCAAUAGCAACUUUGCGAUUCCAAAGUCCGCUACAUGUGCUGUCAUGUCUUCAUCAAACAGCACGUUGCUAGGCUUCAAGUCACAGUGCAGGACUACCUCGUGAUGCUCAUGGUGCAGAUACUCCAUUGCCAUUGACACAUCUAGCAUGAUGUCCAGCCUCUUGAGGAACCCUAAGUGCUCUAUGCUGUCAGAUUGCAAGAGCAUCUCUAAGCUACCACGGGGCAUAUAUUGAAGCACCAAUGCCUUGAACUCCACAUUGGAGCAGACAUUCAAUAUCUUUAUCAAGUUCCUAUGCCGAGCCAUGCGAAGUGUGCUGCACUCAGCAUCAAAGCUUCUAAUGGCCUGCUCCUGCUGCAUGUCUAGAACUUUUACUGCCACCGUGAAACCGGUACUAAGUUGACCUUUAUAGACCUUUCCAAAGCUCCCAGUCCCCAACAGGUUGUCGUCACUAAAAUUACUGGUGGCAAGGACAAGCUCAUGGUAUGACAGGUGCCCAUGGUACAUAACAUUUCUAGGAUCAAUGACAGAAUCUUCAACCUCUCCCUUAUUUUUAAUUUUCUUUCUAAUGGUUUGGUAGAUGAAAAUAAUAGUACACCCAAAUGCUAUGGUUACAGAAGGGAGCAGGAAUCUUAGAAAGGGCGUCGUAUUUGAGUGAG